GCCGGAGUCGCCUUCUAUUGGCUACACUCCCGGGGACUGGCUGGGCUUUCCGACACCUGAUUGGGCGGAACAGCCCUCUGUACGCCGACAUCAUUGGAGGGCGCUGGAGCCAGGGGGCGGAGCGGGUUCCCCAGGAUUCUUGACCGGGCGCGCUAGUCCGUCCGCUGAGCCGGGCGCGGGGCGCAAGAGCGGAGCUGCGCGAGCCGCUGCGGAGGGAAGGGCUCCUAGCCAAUUGGGGUCUUUGAGGCGAAUGCGAGGCUGGGGCCGGUUGCCUACCGGCCGCUUCUCGCCGAGGCAGUCCAGACUUUUCCCCCGGCGGUGCCCGCUCCAAGACAGCAUCUGUCAACGCUCCUCUUCUCCCCUCCUCCUCCUGCCGGGCCGGGCUCCGCCGGCUGCGGCCGAGAGGACGCGGGACCCGGCGCGGUGAGCCCAUCAGCUGUCAGGCGAGCGGCGAAGCGGCUGGAGGGCGGCGAGAGACACACAAAGAACGCGGUGGGCGGCGGCGGCGAAAGGGGACGGCAACUCCUCCCCGCGCCCGCCGGUGCCACCGCCGGCCGUGCUUGUUCCGAGGCCGCGCAGACAAUGCGGCCGGGCUCGUCCCCGCGUGCCCCAGAGUGCGGAGCGCCCGCGCUCCCCCGACCCCAACUUGACCGUCUCCCGGCUCGCCCAGCCCCCUCCCGGGGUAGGGGCGCCCCCUCCCUCCGGUGGCCGGCGAAGGAAGUCGGUCCGCGGCCGCAGAUCCCGGCAACUUGCGAACCGGGAAAAGUUUGCGGCGCCUCCGCGGGGCGGCGCGACGCGGCCCGCCCCUCGCGUCCGCGGUCAUCGCGGGUGACUUUCUCGACUCGUCGUCAGCCGGGGCCGCAGCGCGGCCGGUGGGGACUGCGGGGCGGGCCGGAGUCCGUCCGAGGGCUCCCGCACCUCGGGCUGCGGGAACAUUAAAAUCUCCCCAGAUGCUCACUGCUCUGAUCAUUUCCCCUACAGCACCAGACAUGUUGGCAUCAUCUCUUAGUUGGGCCAUGUGGCCAGGGAACCCUUCAUGAAACCACCUCUGCAGUCCUGGAGAGUUGCUGUAGAAGAAGGAAAAGAGAGGAAGACAACACAACACAGGAGGGGAUAAGUACCUCUGGACACAAUGGAAGUAGUAGUUGUUGAGCAGAGGGAAAGGGAUAGGAGAAGGAUGUGGACUGCAGUGCUGCAGUGCCAGGAAGUUCGAGGACCUUCAGAAAUCAAUCCAUGGGCUCCACAAGCACUGUAUCAAGAGGCAUUCGAGACCAGUCUGGGCUAGAGGAAAUGGGGAAAAGAAGAGAAGGAAGUGAAAGGAAUCUGUUGAGAGAGCAGGUGAAGUGAUCCAAGAAAAGGCAGUGCCAUGGGAACCAAGAAAGGAGACCAAAAGUGAAGAAUGUUGAGUCUGAGCCAGAGAAGGACUGAUGGAGCCAUUGCCACUGUAGCCUCAGAGAGGGCAGCUUCACUAGAACAAUGGCAGCAGAAUGCAGAUGGAGCCAGCGGGGAGAGGAGUGGACAUGAGAGAAAGAUCCCAUAGCCCUCUUGGUCUUGGUUGGAACAGGAGGAAAAUGAAAACUGGACAUCCAUCUUAGGACUUAAUCCUACGGAGACCACAAGCUGGAAGAGGCACUCAAUACUAGCAUGGCUUCUGUGGCAUUUUGAUGAGUAGUAUGGGCUCCACACUGAAAUAUUAAUAUCUUAUUGUUUUGAUGAUGAUGAUGAUGUUCAUUGGCCCAGGGCAAAAGGUAAAGGUUGUGUUAUAAAGCUGAUCUAUUCAAUAUCUGUGGAUGUUAACUCCACCCCAUCCCCUUAUUGAACAAUUACGAUGCCUAUAAAUAUUGUAUUGAGAAAGAAAAAAAAAACUAAGGCAGAAGAUAUCAUAUUACCUGUCCAUAUGUGACAUUUUGGCUGGCCAAGCCAUAAUGGCCAAAGAGGAGCAACUGUCAAAAUUUAAGUGGGGUUAGAAAAGAAGAGAGGAACUUGCACGUUUGCACCUACAAGGACCCUCUUUUCUCCUCUGGUAGCCAUGGAAACCACUCCUUGGACCUCCUUUCAAGAGACUCUGCAUGGGGAGCACAGUUGACUGACAGCUCCAAUUGCUGCUCCUUCGAGUCCACCAUGGCACUCAUGCCCACGCAAUGUUUCCUCCAGGGUUCUCCAGGUAGAGAUGGAGCAGGUGGGGUUGCCAGAGGCAGGCCAUCAGGCCAUCUUGACUGAUGUGGGACUUCUAAUGCUUCCAGGUCUGAAGGCUCACCUGCCACUUCCUGCUCCCUCCUCCUUUACCCUUCACAGGAGUUUCCUCCCCAUAAAUUUCUUGUGUAUCUAGUCCUGUCUUGGCAUCAGCUUCUUGGAGGACUUGAACUGAUAUGCACUCAACAGCCAGUAAAUCCUGCUAAUUCACAAAAUCCUUGAUUAUCAGUACUAAAGAAAGACACUGGGGGUGAAGAUGUCAUCUUCUAAAAGACUUACUGGGGAUAAUCUACCACCAAAUGUAGGUGGCAAAUGCCAUCUUUGAUCACAUAAUGGAAUCAAUGAAGGAGGUUAUUGAUCUGGUUCAGAGGUGACUUUAGAAUGUCCCAAACCCUUUAAAUAUGUGUGUAUUGAGUAUGUGUGCAAUUCUCCUUGAAGAACAUUUAUACCUUUCAUCUCAUUAAUCUACAAAAUUAUCAGCAGUGGCAGCUAAUUGUCAGUUAACUAGGUAGUUGACAAGUCACAUUAACAUGAAAUCUGUGUUUCAUGUAAAUAAAAAAAAUAAAAUGACUUAUUUUAUGCAAUAAUAGUCAUGCCUCCAUUUUUCACUCCAAACUAAGUGAACUUUAGUCAUCCUAGGAGCUCUGCAAACUAAGCCUCUAGUACAAAAACAAUCAGUACUGCAUUCUUCAUCUAAUU
rnacentral:lncRNA from 1 species